rnacentral:rRNA from 1 species
UGGGGAAUUUUGGACAAUGGGCGAAAGCCUGAUCCAGCAAUGCCGCGUGUGUGAAGAAGGCCUUCGGGUUGUAAACCUCUUUCAGCAGGGAAGAAGCGAAAGUGACGGUACCUGCAGAAGAAGCGCCGGCUAACUACGUGCCAGCAGCCGCGGUAAUACGUAGGGCGCAAGCGUUGUCCGGAAUUAUUGGGCGUAAAGAGCUCGUAGGCGGUUAGUCGCGUCUGCUGUGAAAAUCUCGAGGCUCAACCUCGGGCUUGCAGUGGGUACGGGCUGACUAGAGUGCGGUAGGGGUGACUGGAAUUCCUGGUGUAGCGGUGGAAUGCGCAGAUAUCAGGAGGAACACCGAUGGCGAAGGCAGGUCACUGGGCCGCAACUGACGCUGAGGAGCGAAAGCAUGGGGAGCGAACAGGAUUAGAUACCCUGGUAGUCCAUGCCGUAAACGUUGGGCACUAGGUGUGGGGUCCAUUCCACGGAUUCCGUGCCGCAGC